AUGCUUGCUAACAGGAUUGCUCCACCACAUGCGCUAACUCCACUCCAACAACGUGAGCCUUGUGAGAGAAGUAAAUACUUCUCCCAACACCCCGCACUGCAGGAGGGGCCCUCAUGGAGCGGAGCAAUGAAGGUUGGUGUUGGAGAGGGAAAUCCCCUUGCUGGGCAGGGAAACCCUCUGUGGAAAUGGAAACGGAGCAUUUUCGCUUGGAAAAUCACCAAGGAGCGAGGGAAGCUUGCACGGGCAAUACGUUUCCAGGAAGUUUGCUGCCAGCAGGGCGGUGCAUCCCCGGGCUGCAAGUGA
rnacentral:lncRNA from 1 species